UAUCACAUUGAAACACCAGUUCUUGUACGAUCACUGAAGUUAAGCAAUGCUGAGCCUGUUCAGUACCUAAAUGGGUUACUGCUUGGGAAUACCAG
rnacentral:rRNA from 1 species